UGACUCCUGAAGAUUUGCCGUCAUAAACGUGUCUUUUUUCUUUGCUUUAGGAACACUUGUAAUGAUAACAAUAAGUAAACGUUUAUAGACGUAAACAAUUCUCUGUUGUUGUAAAUUCAGGGCACCCUAUGCACUGUACAACGAAAAUGAGAGAAGAAAAAACAGGACAGUGAAAAACUUACUGCUAGACUUUUUUCUCCAAGCUGUAUAUUUAAGUAAGCCCAUUAGUUUUCCCAAAUAAAUCUGCAAAUUAAUUGUUCAUAAUGGGUGGCGCAGUAGGGGACUGGUUACUAAGUUUGCUUUACCAUGCCAGAAUCCUGAGCUCAAAUCCUGGUCUCAUUCAACGUCUUUAUGGAGUUUGCACGUUUUACCUCUCAAUUUGGGAUUUUUCUUGGAGAUCAUCAAGACAUCUAGGCUGGGUUCAUUGGCUUGGGUGUAUGUGUGAAUGUACCAAACAAUGGCACUGUGCCUAAUGCUGCUGUCAAUAAAGGCUCGAACACCUGCA